AUAUAUAUCAUUUUGUUAUUUUCCCCUCUCCAUAUGUAUUGCUACACAGUCCUAUUCCUCCAUCAUCCUGUGCUAUUCCUACAAGCCACUUGUGCUACCAGUUACCCUCUCUGGUUCUCAUAACUAUUUGAUCUUGUUUGGCCUGCAUUGGCCCUUCUUUCAGUACUGUGCUAUUUUGUGGUUUGCCUUAGUUAUAUCGCUAUCACCACACAAACAGCUACCAAAGAGUAACUAAGGAUAUGUAGACAGAAAAAUCAAUAUUCUAGUUUUCAGGCUGAUCAAUGAAUAGGUAACCUGAAAACUAAAUUGGCUAAUUGUUUGGAUCGUCUUUCUGUAAUAAUAAUCUUUUCGAGCAGCGUAGUGGACACGCUGCUCUCUCUCUCUCUCUCUCUCUCUCUAGAAUUUGGUUAGACUCCUUAACAAGUAAAAAUAAACAGAUAUCUAUUAAUAUCAGCAAUAAAUACAAGGUUAUGAUAUCAAAAUGUAGUAAAGAAAGAAGGGAUAAAAAAAAAAGGAAGAAAAAAAAAAAAAAAAAGAAAAUGCAAUUCAACAACAAUGAGUUAAUUUUGCUGCAAGUAUAGAGCGAAAAAAAAAGCAUGGCAUCUGAAGAUAGUGAUAUUUUUUUUUUUAUUUAUUUUUAAGAGAUAUGAUGAAUCUAUUAUCUGCCAUUAUGGAAGCGGCAGCAUGUGCUCAGCUGUCCUGUGGCACGCCUGCGUGUGCAUUUCAAGUGUAAACAUUAUCUUCUAUUACCUGACCAUUAUCAUAUUGUGUACAGGAAGUGGGCUGGCAGAGAUUUGCUCCAACACUGAGGGGCCUGCUCUCCCAUCUCUUCAGUUUUGGUAAGUACCCCUUUCAAGUCAUCGCGGGACAACGAGGGACAUCGUGGGAGCACCAGGAGUGCACAAAUAGUGCAAUAUGACAAGUGAGUGUGUUUUCCUUUGGUUAGGUGUUAGGUUCAGUUAGGUGUUAGGAUGUUUACUUUUCAGAGGUGCAAAGAACUAAUCCAUUACUGUGGAGUCUUUUCAGGUCUGUUGUCUUCCAGAAAUUUUUUUCAUGAGGCCAGUGAGAAUAUGUGGAAGAAAAAGCUUGAGCAGUCCUUCUCAUGGCACACCAUCCUUGCUGUCUAGAAUGCAGUGGUGACUGUUAAGCAUCCAGUCAAGCUGAGGCUAGUGCAAGGAUCAACAAUAAAACUGGAAUUCUUUGCCUCUGCUAACGCGGCUCCUCAGUACUAGGCUGGAGGUCCGGCGCGACAAUGUAUCAACUUUUCCGGUCAUUGUAUGAUUGAGUAGUGACGGAGCGGCCGCGACUACCACUGGAGUUUCCUGUGACAUGUAAGAGCAAGCGAUUCAGAAAGUUAACGUGUAUCAAGUCAACAUCUUGCCAAGAUAAAUAUAUGCAACUUUUUUUUUACUCUGCAGUGUAUAUUUAGAGUUUGUACCACAGGCAG